UGGGGAAUAUUGCACAAUGGGCGAAAGCCUGAUGCAGCAACGCCGCGUGAGUGAUGAAGGUCUUCGGAUUGUAAAGCUCUGUCUUUUGGGACGAUAAUGACGGUACCAAAGGAGGAAGCCACAGCUAACUACGUGCCAGCAGCCGCGGUAAUACGUAGGUGGCGAGCGUUGUCCGGAUUUACUGGGCGUAAAGGGUGCGUAGGCGGAUGUUUAAGUGAGAUGUGAAAUACCCGGGCUUAACUUGGGUGCUGCAUUUCAAACUGGAUAUCUAGAGUGCAGGAGAGGAGAAUGGAAUUCCUAGUGUAGCGGUGAAAUGCGUAGAGAUUAGGAAGAACACCAGUGGCGAAGGCGAUUCUCUGGACUGUAACUGACGCUGAGGCACGAAAGCGUGGGUAGCAAACAGGAUUAGAUACCCUGGUAGUCCACGCCGUAAACGAUGAGUACUAGGUGUAGGAGGUAUCGACCCCUUCUGUGCCGCAGUAAACACAUUAAGUACUCCGCCUGGGAAGUAC
rnacentral:rRNA from 1 species